rnacentral:rRNA from 1 species
GAUGAACGCUGGCGGUGUGCUUAACACAUGCAAGUCGAACGGUGAAGCAGAGCUUGCUCUGUGGAUCAGUGGCGAACGGGUGAGUAACACGUGAGCAAUCUGCCCCUGACUCUGGGAUAAGCGCUGGAAACGGCGUCUAAUACCGGAUACGAGCUGCGAAGGCAUCUUCAGCAGCUGGAAAGAAUUUCGGUCAGGGAUGAGCUCGCGGCCUAUCAGCUUGUUGGUGAGGUAACGGCUCACCAAGGCGUCGACGGGUAGCCGGCCUGAGAGGGUGACCGGCCACACUGGGACUGAGACACGGCCCAGACUCCUACGGGAGGCAGCAGUGGGGAAUAUUGCACAAUGGGCGAAAGCCUGAUGCAGCAACGCCGCGUGAGGGACGACGGCCUUCGGGUUGUAAACCUCUUUUAGCAGGAAAGAAGCGAAAGUGACGGUACCUGCAGAAAAAGCGCCGGCUAACUACGUGCCAGCAGCCGCGGUAA